AAAGAUCUGGAGACAAUACUUUUGAACUGCUGCCUUCAGAAGGCGUAAGGAGCCUCAGGGAAAGAGGGCAUAGUGGUCCUGGGCGCCGAGUUAACUCCAACCGUCAGCGGAACGGUGGAGAGGGGAGUUGCACACCCCAGGUCCACCUGAUGUGGGCAGCUGACCGCCAGCCCCACCCCAUGACCAGGGUCCAGCCACACGGGGCUCUCGUUUCCGUGACACACGCUUCAGGCCUGCGGUGCUCUGCAAGAGCGACACCUCCAACAGCAGCGCCCCCUCCUCUCCCUAAAGGCCUCUCCAGCCCUAGGCCCGCCGUCGCUCCUAGGGAGCCCUGGCCGGUCCGAGCACAGACGGUCCGCUCUAGUCAUCUCGCUGGGGCUGACCCGACCCCUUUCCGGGCAGGACGAGAACCCACGGGCACCAUGCGGACCUCAAGGCUCUACACGUUGGUCCUGGUGCUGCAGCCUCAGCGAGUCCUCCUGGGCAUGAAGAAACGAGGCUUCGGGGCCGGCCGGUGGAACGGCUUUGGGGGCAAAGUUCAAGAAGGAGAGACCAUCGAGGACGGGGCCAAGAGGGGAGCUGAUGAUGAGCUAUCUGGGACCUUUCACUGACAGUCUCCGUUCUUCCUCGACACCAACUACAUUCCCAUGAGCAAGAACUGAAGCCCAGAGACACGGAGCAGGCCCGAGGUCACACAGCCCUCCAGACUUUAGCCUCUUUGCCUUCUUGCCCCUCAGGCUCGUGGGGAUAAAUUCAACACCCUGUGUCAUCCAUUGAGCCCACACGGUCUGGUCCAACGCCUCCCCAUCCCUGCCCCCCGCAUCAGGACACCCCCUGACAAAGGACUGCGGAGCCCCUGCAGGUGGGAGGUCAGACGGGUGGCACGUCCCCAUGCCCAAGGCAGAGGCUGAGACCCGCUCCACGAGGCCACAGUGCCGUGCACCCAGCUCUGCAGUCAGCCCCCUGGCCCCUGGGGCGCCUCUGGCUCCUUUCCUGGCCCGUGCGUGUAGCUGCUCCUCAGUGGCGGCCCCGCUCUGACGGGCAAGGUCUUGGCAGCCUUGGUGUCAGGUGCCCUGCCCUUUUGGGUUCCAGGGUGGGCCCCACUUCAGGGCCUGGGUUAACAUGCACUCCUCACUCAUCUGCAGACUCAGGUGGCAUGUGGGGCUGGCUCUGUCUUCCUGUGUGCAGGACAUACUUGGGGGGGCCACUUGAGCCCCAAGGAAGAUGCAUUCUCCUCCUGGGGGGACCAGUUGCUGGCACUUGGGGGCCAGCGGCGCCUUGCAGCCAGGUUCGGGCUCUGGGUGUGGAGCAGGCCCGCCGUCCUGGCCAGCGUUCCCAGAGCUGGUGAGGACGCAGAGCGUGGUGUUCAGAGAACUCACGCAGGCUGGGCUGGAGGAGGGAGAGCAGGCGGGCUCUCAAGCUCCGCAGCGGGCUCCGGACCACAGGGUCCCGCACCUCCGCCCCGCUCCCACCGGGGCGCUCGGCUGUCCACGGCUUGGUUUAAAGUGUCACUCGAAAAAAAAAAUAAAGUGUCACUCGUCCUAUUCCCUGCCUGCCAUCUGGGGAACAUCCCAGAGAUGCAAUCAGACACGUUAGCAGAACUGGAACAGUAUCAUCUCCGGCUGCCUGAUUAUCCAGGCCUGAAACGGAGCCUUGGCUCUGACACCGAGGAGAUGACUGAUAUUUCAUGCCCCGCCAUGGACUCGGGGAAGAUGAACCCAAAUUAGUCAAAACAGUGAAUCAGUCGGUGACGUUUUUAAAAACAAGCUCCGCCAGCCUGCUGCCAGAGGUGGGGAGGCCCCGCUCAGUGCUUCUAUUACGUCUAAUUGGGGAGCCAUUUGCACCCCCACUAGCAAAAACACACUCAUUUUUUUAGGUCAUGUCUAGUUUUGAUUAAUCAUCGCAGUGAGUACGUUCUGGCUUUCGGAACAUCACUCGGGCCGUACUGAAUAGCAGCAGGUGGACCCAGUUCCUCUCCCGGCCUCACGGGGAGGUUAGGGCAGAGUCUAGGCUCAGGACGGCGACUGUUUAAAUAAGACCGUUUAACCCAACGUGCGUGUUUAAUGAACACAUUGGUUUCCCUGACUCCUAGUCGUGGGCACAGGAAGUAAUUAUGCACUGUGUUCCUAACAGAACUCCGAGAUCAGAGCUUAAAGAGACCUUUUUAUAACCUACAGCUCUAAAAGGUCAGACAUAAUUAGAACGGUUUUACAGCCACAGAAAUAAAUUCAGAGCAGUGGGGAAGUGAGAGUCGCUAACAGGAGACACAGGCGCUGAGCUUCACGGCUGCAGGGCUCCUGGGGCCCCCAGAGCCCACAGCAGACCCUCCAGAAAGCGCGGUCCCAGAUGGCGAGAAGCAGGCCAGGGGAGGGGCUGGGGCAGAGGCUGUGCCUAAGGGCGCUAGGCAGGAAGGUUUCGCGAUGCGCCGGUGGGGUGCUUAUCCUCUGAUACACCACGGCAGAGAAACUGGUUGGAUUCCUGCAGGUGUGGAUUGUGUGAGAAGCACAGGUCCCAGGUACAGGUGCUGUCUGCAGUUUUCGAAGGACAGAGACCCGAAGGGAAGAUGCCAGUGGUCACGAGGGUUCUUGUGGGCGACCAGGCCAUGUGUGUUCGCUGAAAUGCCUACAGCACGUAUACAGCUUGGGGAAGUGUUGUUAAACAGGCACGCGUGUUUAGGGGGGCAUGCUCGUUUCCUUGUGAAUCAGCUGACUUGUGAGCUCAGGUGGGGCAACCAGCCCCCGGCCCCUCUUCCAGCACAGGCACCUCGACUUCACUGUCGCCUCCCACCCGCCCGCCUGCCCGCAGGGAGCUGCAGGAGGAGAGC